ACAAAUCUGCUCUUGGGACUCGGCUUCGGGAGGAGCCCACGCACCGCGGGGCCCUGGCCGCUCGGCCGCCGGGACAGUAGAACAGGGUCAGUGGGCUUCCACUCAAGGCCAGGAUUUCGGCAGGAAACCCCGCGCGACAGAUGUCGUUAUCAAAAGUCCUUACUGGACGAGGACUCCUAGCACGGAGGCUGACGGCCCAUUUAUCUAGAAAGCUUGAGCCAAACAAAGGUUUCCGGCGGUCUUACUGGUGUUAACGUGGGGUGUUUAUCAUGAAGAAAGUACUGUACGGCUCCGCGAGGGAAGGCCCUGCAGGAGGUUCCGGGCCGCCAAACUCUGGGCAGGUCCACGAUCCCCGCCGCUGCCCUUUUUUCAACUGCCUGUAGCACUGGAAGCUCGCUGCCGGCUUGGGAGAUCCCUUCCGGGUCGAAGGGCGGAGGGGGCGGAGCGCUCAGAGGGCCCGCCCUCCGGCUGAUGGGCGGGGCCUCUGUGGUACGACGUCGUGCGUGGCGCAGCCAUCUUGGAGCCGGGCGAUGGCGUCCUCAGGGCGGAAGUGUGGCGUGGAGGGAGCCGGUGUUGUCAAGUCUGUGACUCUCAGGUGUUCCCUUGAUCUGGCUUCCCAGGCUCCUGUCAAGUUAUGAUCUCUUAAAGGAGCUGCAUUCUUGGCUCUGCUUCUGCUGAGUCGGUUCCGACUUUGCCUGUCAGGCACAGCUGAUGGGCAGUCUUCCCAUCUGCAGGACCCGCCGAGGCAGCCCCCCCACCCCCCGGGCAGCAGGAUGUGGUCGCAGAGGUUCUUGCUGCCUUUGAGAGACGGUCUCCGGACCCUUCUUUUCUGUUGGCUCAUGGCUUCUCCCAGACCCUCCACCUGUGUGCAUCUCUUCGCCCCGUGGCUGCCCAGCCGAGGAAUCUGCUUAGCAUUUAAAGCAGAAACAGAACCAGCCCUGCCCCCCAGAAAUUGAACUUUUUGUUGUUUGUCUUCAGAAAAGCAAACCAGGUGUUGAGUUGGGCUCAUCUGGAUUGCUUCAGCCAUGGGUGAACAGCCAGACCUUCCCAUUUCAAUAUCCACACGCCUCAUUUCUCCCUCCCUAGUGAGGGUCAGAGGUGCUUUGGUUGUGCAUGACACAGGCUACCCCAUUUCACUGCUGGAGAGCUCAGAGCUCGCUGUGUAAGAAACAGAGGGAGGUAAGAGAAAGGAAAGCAGGAUGGCCCCUGCUGAUCAUGCUCCCAGGAGCCUUCUGUACCCUGGGAGCUGGGCUCACAAAUGGUCUGGUGUUUCAGGGAUGGGCCUUAUUUUGGAGCCAGACUGCUGGGGUUCACAUUAUGGUGUUGUCUCCUCCUGGCUGUGUGGCUUCAACUUCUCUGUGCCCUCGUUUCCUCACUUGUGGACUGGGGUUAACCCCACAGGGUGUGAGGAUUAGAUAAAUUAAAUCAUGGAAGGGGCUAAUGGUCA